AAAGUCGUAACAAGGUUUCCGUAGGUGAACCUGCGGAAGGAUCAUUAAAGAGAAAGGAGCUUGCUCCUAGGGUUUCGGCCCCACUCUUCACCCUAUGUUUAUACAUCUCUGUUGCUUUGGCGAGCCCUGCUCAGGCAUGUCGAUUCGUCGGCAAGUGCUCGCCAAAGGAUUUUCAACUCUUCAUUACUUCUGUCUGACAAUAAACAAAUAAAAUAAAACUUUCAACAACGGAUCUCUUGGUUCUG
rnacentral:misc_RNA from 1 species